rnacentral:sRNA from 1 species
AGAGAAGUAAGUGCCGCCCCGCACAGGGGCAACGCUAAUAAACCACUAACAAUUCAAGGAAAGGCACCAAAUCCAGAUCAAGGAAAGGCCACCGCCCCAAGCAC